rnacentral:rRNA from 1 species
GACAGAGGGUGCAAACGUUGUUCGGAAUUACUGGGCGUAAAGCGCGUGUAGGCGGCCCGGAAAGUCGGAUGUGAAAGCCCUGGGCUUAACCCAGGAAGUGCAUUCGAAACUCCCGGGCUUGAGUUCUGGAGAGGAAGGCGGAAUUCCCAGUGUAGUGGUGAAAUACGUAGAGAUUGGGAAGAACACCAGUGGCGAAGGCGGCUAUCUGGACGGUUUCUGACGCUAAGACGCGAAAGCGUGGGGAGCAAACAGG